rnacentral:rRNA from 1 species
UCCGUAGGUGAACCUGCGGAGGGAUCAUUGCUGGAACGCGCUUCGGCGCACCCAGAAACCCUUUGUGAACUUAUACCUAUCUGUUGCCUCGGCGUAGGCCGGCCUCUUCACUGAGGCCCCCUGGAAACAGGGAGCAGCCCGCCGGCGGCCAACUAAACUCUUGUUUCUAUAGUGAAUCUCUGAGUAAAAACAUAAAUGAAUCAAAACUUUCAACAACGGAUCUCUUGGUUCUGGCAUCGAUGAAGAACGCAGCGAAAUGCGAUAAGUAAUGUGAAUUGCAGAAUUCAGUGAAUCAUCGAAUCUUUGAACGCACAUUGCGCCCUCUGGUAUUCCGGAGGGCAUGCCUGUUCGAGCGUCAUUUCAACCCUCAAGCCUGGCUUGGUGAUGGGGCACUGCCUUCUAGCGAGGGCAGGCCCUGAAAUCUAGUGGCGAGCUCGCUAGGACCCCGAGCGUAGUAGUUAUAUCUCGUUCUGGAAGGCCCUGGCGGUGCCCUGCCGUUAAACCCCCAACUUCUGAAAAUUUGACCUCGGAUCAGGUAGGAAUACCCGCUGAACUUAAGCAUAUCAAUAAGCGGAGGAA